rnacentral:lncRNA from 1 species
ACAGAAGGAUAGCAGAAGAACCUCUGGAGGCCAAAACAUUCUAUGGGCUGGACCAACUACUAUAAUUGAACCUGAGACCAGUGACAGGGGUUUUGUAAGACACAUUCAAAUAAUUACCAGGUCACACAUCUUGAAGAUCACAGAAUUGUUUCCAGCCAACAUUCUGACCAUUUUCCUUGUUCAGUGCCCACUCAGGGGGUCAGACAGUGGAGACCCAGGAAGACCCACAAAGGCUUGUUAAAUUGCAAUGAGGAUCGACAACAUGGUCUCAUCUCAGGAGGACAAGGAAGUCUGUCCGGCUAAAUAAUUGUAACUCUUCUUCAUGGUCAAAAUCAUUAAAGUAUUGUCAUGAGCUUUUUUAAAGUAUUGUCAUAAGCUUUUCUUUCUUUUUUUUUUUG